AGUGAACGCUGGCGGUAGGCCUAACACAUGCAAGUCGAACGGCAGCACAGUAAGAGCUUGCUCUUACGGGUGGCGAGUGGCGGACGGGUGAGGAAUACAUCGGAAUCUACUUUUUCGUGGGGGAUAACGUAGGGAAACUUACGCUAAUACCGCAUACGACCUACGGGUGAAAGCAGGGGAUCUUCGGACCUUGCGCGACUGAAUGAGCCGAUGUCGGAUUAGCUAGUUGGCGGGGUAAAGGCCCACCAAGGCGACGAUCCGUAGCUGGUCUGGGAGGAUGAUCAGCCACACUGGAACUGGAACACGGUCCAGACUCCUACGGGAGGCAGCAGUGGGGAAUAUUAGACAAUGGGCGCAAGCCUGAUCCAGCCAUGCCGCGUGGGUGAAGAAGGCCUUCGGGUUGUAAAGCCCUUUUAUUAGGAAAGAAAAGCAGCAGGUUAAUACCCCGCUGUUCUGACGGUACCCAAAGAAUAAGCACCGGCUAACUUCGUG
rnacentral:rRNA from 1 species